UCAAUACCCAAUCAGCCAGAUAUCUUUCAGGGUAAAAUAGUUCAUAGAACUCGUUUUGUCAUCAAUUGUAUGUUCAAUAUUUUUCGACGCUUUUCGUAAUAUUUUCGAAGUAUGAUUUUAGUAAUAUUUUCGAAGAAUAAAUUUAGUGGUAGAAAUAGUGUAAACAAAUUAAAAUUAUACGGGACGUGUUUCAAAUAAUUUCGACGAAUGUAUUUAUACGAAGUAUGUUACGCUUAGUUCUAUUGAAAUGUCGCAAAAAAUAUGGAUUGGUAAUUUAAUCUCUCCUAUCUUUCAGGGUAAAAUAGUUCAUAGAACUCGUAUUGUCAUCAAUUGUAUGUUCAAUAUUUUUCGACGCUUUUCGUAAUAUUUUCGAAGUAUGAUUUUAGUAAUAUUUUCGAAGAAUAAAUUUAGUGGUAGAAAUAGUGUAAACAAAUUAAAAUUAUACGGGACGUGUUUCAAAUAAUUUCGACGAAUGUAUUUAUACGAAGUAUGUUACGCUUAGUUCUAUUGAAAUGUCGCAAAAAAAUAUGGAUUGGUAAUUUAAUCUCUCCUAUCUUUCAGGGUAAAAUAGUUCAUAGAACUCGUAUUGUCAUCAAUUGUAUGUUCAAUAUUUUUCGACGCUUUUCGUAAUAUUUUCGAAGUAUGAUUUUAGUAAUAUUUUCGAAGAAUAAAUUUAGUGGUAGAAAUAGU